rnacentral:misc_RNA from 1 species
ACAAGAAGCUAGCCAAACGGAAUUUGAAUUCCAAUGGAAAUUAAAGUUCCACAGACUUCCACUAACAGAACAGAACAACGAAUCAGACGAAGGCUAAAAAAUUCAGCAAGCCAAGGUUCUUGACUUGUUUUAUCCCACAGAAAAAACCUAAUCUGAUUUAUAUUCUAUUUCUACCGUCGUCAUCACAGAAUGCUUGAAGCAUUUAUCUGGAGAGAUGGGAGAGGUUCCUCUCUGCUUUUUUUUCCUUGUUUUCUUUCUCUCUGAUUUUACUAUAAGACGAAAACCUUUUAGAGAAAUAAAAAAGUCAAAUGA